AGUGAACGCUGGCGGUAGGCCUAACACAUGCAAGUCGAACGGCAGCACAGUAAGAGCUUGCUCUUACGGGUGGCGAGUGGCGGACGGGUGAGGAAUACAUCGGAAUCUACUUUUUCGUGGGGGAUAACGUAGGGAAACUUACGCUAAUACCGCAUACGACCUACGGGUGAAAGCAGGGGAUCUUCGGACCUUGCGCGAUUGAAUGAGCCGAUGUCGGAUUAGCUAGUUGGCGGGGUAAAGGCCCACCAAGGCGACGAUCCGUAGCUGGUCUGAGAGGAUGAUCAGCCACACUGGAACUGAGACACGGUCCAGACUCCCACGGGAGGCAGCAGUGGGGAAUAUUGGACAAUGGGCGCAAGCCUGAUCCAGCCAUACCGCGUGGGUGAAGAAGGCCUUCGGGUUGUAAAGCCCUUUUGUUGGGAAAGAAAAGCAGCAGGUUAAUACCCCGCUGUUCUGACGGUACCCAAAGAAUAAGUACCGGCUAACUUCGUG
rnacentral:rRNA from 1 species